AGCUCCAAUAGCGUAUCUUAAUGUUGUUGCAGUUAAAAAGCUCGUAGUCGAAUAUCUGGCCGGGAAAACCGCUCUUCGAGUGGACCUUUCCUAGGCCAUCCGCCUGAAAAAUUAGAGUUUGUUAAUAGCUUAUUCUUAUGGAUCAGGCACUUUACUUUGAAGAAAUUAGAGUGUUUCAGGCAGGCUAUCGCUUGAAUACACCAGCAUGGAAUAAUGGAAUAGGACUUUCAUCAGUUACUGGUUAAUGAUGUUUGUAAUGAUUAAUAGGGACAGUUGGGGGCAUUCGUACUUGACAGUCAGAGGUGAAAUUCUUCGAUUUGUCAAAGACGAACUAAUGCGAAGGCAUCUGCCAAGGAUGUUUUCA
rnacentral:rRNA from 1 species